rnacentral:rRNA from 1 species
UAACGCAGCGAAAGCUGUGCUAAUACCGCAUACGAUCUACGGAUGAAAGCAGGGGAUCGCAAGACCUUGCGCGAAUGGAGCGGCCGAUGGCAGAUUAGGUAGUUGGUGAGGUAAAGGCUCACCAAGCCUUCGAUCUGUAGCUGGUCUGAGAGGACGACCAGCCACACUGGGACUGAGACACGGCCCAGACUCCUACGGGAGGGCAGCAGUCG